AAGCAUUUAUUGAAAAUCGGUUGCAAAUGAACUUGGAAAGAAGGACAGAAAAGAAAAAUAACCCAAUGAAUGCACCAAAAGUGAAAUGGCAAGAACAUCAGAUCCUAAAGCAAGUCACCUACCUGAGAUGACUUCAGGAAAAUGUUAAUAAUUUGGAAUCUAUGUUCUGUACUAAAUCCCAGGAAGAAAUAUUGGUUACAUUUGCUUGCAGUGACAUGACAGCUUCAUUUCUGGGGGCAGUUUCCACUUCAAGCAGGAAAAAUAAUCCCCACUUUUAAAGCUGCAUUGCGGUUUGCUCAGUUGUGCUUCAUAUAUUAUUGAAUGAUAGAAAACUCUGUAAAUGAAAAAAAGUAAAAAUGUAGCCCCAAGAGCUGUAGCCCUCACUCAUGAAAAAUUUUAAUCAAGUCUGUGGGAAUUUUGCCCAGUAUUGCAGGACUAUUCCCAGGCAGUACAGAAGAUGUCUGGAUAGUGGCAAUGAACAGGUGUUUCAAACUGGUUUUGAAUAUCGUCAGUUACAAACCUGUGAAGCUAAAAUUUGCUCUUGCAUUCUUUGCACACACAGACCCAAAUUAUAGACAGGGGCGGCAGGUUUGUAUAAUUUUUGGUGGUGCCCAGAAUGGGUCGAAAUCCCGCCCCUCCCCCCACCUUGUAAGCGGAUAUAUAUAUUUUUAAAUAAUGUAAAAACGAACUGGAAACAGUAAGCAUUUAACAGUUUCCCUUUAUUGCACAAUAUCGUUAUCAUAAGAAAAAAUUAUUUAACUAAGAAUAUCAACUUUUGAAUACAGAAACAACCAAACACUCUUGGAUCAAUAACCCUCAAAAGCAAAUACUUUCUAAAAUUAAAACAAAUAUAGCCCCUUCUUUUGCGAUGUUCUUCGUCGUUGUUUGGUUCCUGAAAUGAAGCCAUUCAGGAGACUUGCAAUGUGCAGUUCAGAGGUAGAGUUCUUAUGAAUGUGAAGAAAUGCCAAGUGAUUUAGAUGUUCUUGGCCCAUUGCCAUUCGCAAAUAAUUUUUCAGUCUGCGCAGGCAACAGAAUGAUCGCUAAACAGUGCAGGUUAUAGUAGGAAUUAUGUAGAAUAAUUUCAGGAGAAUUGUAACUUCUGACAACGUCACUCAAGCCUUCAUUUUGUUUCAGAAAUUGCUUCACUUUGCUCACCAAAUUAAGCUGGCAAUUUCUCGAUCUGCAAUAUCACUCAACAUUUCUAAAUGAAGAGAUAGCCUCUCCGUGUUAAUAUCACCAUGGAAAACUUCACUUAUUGGGACAAUGUCCUGUUUCGAGCCAUAGUUAUAUGCUUCUCCAAUUUUACUGCGAAUGUAAAGCUUUCUGUUGAAAACCACUGUUCAAUGGCAACUUUGCAAACAUCAACGAUCCUGACAUAUAUUUGAUGAAAUACUCUUUGGGGUCACUGAAGGUGUGAGGAAGGCUGCCAUGGUUGAGCCAUCUCGGUGGCUUGCAUUUUCUCAGGAGUGUGGAAUCAUCUAAAUAAAGAUUUCUUGCCUUCUCUA